rnacentral:rRNA from 1 species
GAGUGAACGCUGGCGGUAGGCCUACCACAUGCAAGUCGAACGUCAGCACAGUAAGAGCUUGCUCUUACGGGUGGCGAGUGGCGGACGGGUGAGGAAUACAUCGGAAUCUACUUUUUCGUGGGGGAUAACGUAGGGAAACUUACGCUAAUACCGCAUACGACCUACGGGUGAAAGCAGGGGAUCUUCGGACCUUGCGCGAUUGAAUGAGCCGAUGUCGGAUUAGCUAGUUGGCGGGGUAAAGGCCCACCAAGGCGACGAUCCGUAGCUGGUCUGAGAGGAUGAUCAGCCACACUGGAACUGAGACACGGUCCAGACUCCUACGGGAGGCAGCAGUGGGGAAUAUUGGACAAUGGGCGCAAGCCUGAUCCAGCCAUACCGCGUGGGUGAAGAAGGCCUUCGGGUUGUAAAGCCCUUUUGUUGGGAAAGAAAAGCAGCAGGUUAAUACCCCGCUGUUCUGACGGUACCCAAAGAAUAAGCACCGGCUAACUUCGUG